rnacentral:rRNA from 1 species
GUGAACGCUGGCGGUAGGCCUAACACCUGCAAGUCGAACGGCAGCACAGUAAGAGCUUGCUCUUACGGGUGGCGAGUGGCGGACGGGUGAGGAAUACAUCGGAAUCUACUUUUUCGUGGGGGAUAACGUAGGGAAACUUACGCUAAUACCGCAUACGACCUACGGGUGAAAGCAGGGGAUCUUCGGACCUUGCGCGAUUGAAUGAGCCGAUGUCGGAUUAGCUAGUUGGCGGGGUAAAGGCCCACCAAGGCGACGAUCCGUAGCUGGUCUGAGAGGAUGAUCAGCCACACUGGAACUGAGACACGGUCCAGACUCCCACGGGAGGCAGCAGUGGGGAAUAUUGGACAAUGGGCGCAAGCCUGAUCCAGCCAUACCGCGUGGGUGAAGAAGGCCUUCGGGUUGUAAAGCCCUUUUGUUGGGAAAGAAAAGCAGCAGGUUAAUACCCCGCUGUUCUGACGGUACCCAAAGAAUAAGCACCGGCUAACUUCGUG